rnacentral:rRNA from 1 species
GACGAACGCUGGCGGCGUGCUUAACACAUGCAAGUCGAACGGAAAGGCCCCAGCUUGCUGGAGUACUCGAGUGGCGAACGGGUGAGUAACACGUGGGUAAUCUGCCCUGCACUCUGGGAUAAGCCUGGGAAACUGGGUCUAAUACUGGAUAUGACCUUUCUCCUUAUGGGGUUUGGUGGAAAGUUUUUCGGUGUAGGAUGAGCCCGCGGCCUAUCAGCUUGUUGGUGGGGUGAUGGCCUACCAAGGCGACGACGGGUAGCCGGCCUGAGAGGGUGAUCGGCCACAUUGGGACUGAGAUACGGCCCAGACUCCUACGGGAGGCAGCAGUGGGGAAUAUUGCACAAGGGGCGGAAGCCUGAUGCAGCGACGCCGCGUGAGGGAUGACGGCCUUCGGGUUGUAAACCGCUUUCAGCAGGGACGAAGCGUAAGUGACGGUACCGGCAGAAGAAGCACCGGCUAACUACGUG